rnacentral:rRNA from 1 species
AGUGAACGCUGGCGGUAGGCCUAACACAUGCAAGUCGAACGGCAGCACAGUAAGAGCUUGCUCUUACGGGUGGCGAGUGGCGGACGGGUGAGGAAUACAUCGGAAUCUACUUUUUCGUGGGGGAUAACGUAGGGAAACUUACGCUAAUACCGCUUACGACCUACGGGUGAAAGCAGGGGAUCUUCGGACCUUGCGCGAUUGAAUGAGCCGAUGUCGGAUUAGCUAGUUGGCGGGGUAAAGGCCCACCAAGGCGACGAUCCGUAGCUGGUCUGAGAGGAUGAUCAGCCACACUGGAACUGAGACACGGUCCAGACUCCUACGGGAGGCAGCAGUGGGGAAUAUUGGACAAUGGGCGCAAGCCUGAUCCAGCCAUACCGCGUGGGUGAAGAAGGCCUUCGGGUUGUAAAGCCCUUUUGUUGUGAAAGAAAAGCAGCAGGUUAAUACCCCGCUGUUCUGACGGUACCCAAAGAAUAAGCACCGGCUAACUUCGUG